GCUCUUAUGUAAAAUCUGUGCUCUAAAACCUGUGAUCACUUUGGUACAGACAGCACAAUAUCGUUACUCGCCAGUUUUAUUCGCGCCUGCCGCCUGCGCCGCAAUGUUUAGGACGUUCGCAAUUGUUCUGCUUUGGAUUCUUCCAGCGAUGGCGGAAACCCUUUCGAGGUUCAACGUCAAGCCCAUGACGGUGCGCGAAUGCAGCGCUCGUCCAAUCAAUCCCUGUGGCCCGCCGAGACACAAUCUGUUGGACUGCGCCGGCUACGGAAAACCCUCGAAAAGGGUGAUGCCUUGGACGCCAGGAUAUCGGAGGGUGAGGGCGUACCUGGAGAACUUGACGCUGACUACAAUUCAGUCGCAUGUGAAGCUGAUGUGCCGUCCAGAAGGCAACGUAACAACCCAGGAUUUUGUUGAGCAAGUAAAGCUAUCCACACACACAGUCCUGAUCGCGCCGUCAGAGCAGAAAUCGACAAUGCUGAUUUCUUGACACCGGCGACCUUGGGACGCAUUGGUCAGCAGGUCGUGGUCCUCCGGCUGAAACACAUCCAGCUAUCCAACGUUACAGCUUUUCUACCCGCACUGACACUGGAUAACCUCGUGGAACUGUCCAUUGACAUUCGUCUAACUAGCCUGACUAUUCGCAGAAGCGACUUCCGUGGGCUGCGGAACGUCGCAAUCAUUGUUUUCAUUGAAACGCAGAUUGCGUCCCUGGAAGUAGGAACGUUCACCGAUCUACCGAGUCUAAAGUAUCUGGCGUUGGAUGAGAGCUUCAGUCAGAAAGCUGAGGCGGUGCGCAAGCUACGCUGUGAUUCGCAGUUUGCCUGGUUGCGGAAUUUUAUCAAAUCUCACAAACUGUGCCGGGAAUACGGUCUGGGAGAGGUGUACAUGAUCGGGAGCCUUUACAGCGCACUCCUGCAGUGUUCCUUGGAAACUGACGCUUUUGCGUGCGGCACCGAUAAUGCCACACACGCGGAAGGGAAAACAGCCUAAAUGACUAAUAAAACCACACAUUUCAACGAAAUGGAUUGGCGCGGUUGACUUAACCUUUACGUAAACUGUGACCCUGCGCAAAUCCUGCCUGCAUCGUGGCCUGACAACUUUCUUUUCCUUUUCAACUUUCUUUUCGUUUCAUUUUCGUUUUUUUCAACUUUCUUUUCGUUUUUUUUUCGUUUUCGUUUGCUUCGUAUAUAUGAUCAUUUAAAUUCGAAAGCGGGACCGCUGCAGAAAAAUUUCAUCACAAAAAAGUCGCUUGGACUCUGGUGGAUGCUUCGAUUAGGCGAACGGAAAUGUAGAAAAACAAUAUUAAUCAAGUGCGAAUGAAAUACCAUGGAUUUUCAUAUAGAAGAACUCGUAUUUUUCAGAUCCUGCAAAUAGUCUUCGAUA